AAACUGAAGAGUUUGAUCCUGGCUCAGAUUGAACGCUGGCGGCAUGCCUAACACAUGCAAGUCGAACGGUAACGCGGAGAGCUUGCUCUCUGGCGACGAGUGGCGGACGGGUGAGUAAUACUUAGGAAUCUGCCCAGUAGUGGGGGACAACAUUCGGAAACGGAUGCUAAUACCGCAUACGCCCUACGGGGGAAAGCGGGGGAUCUUCGGACCUCGCGCUAUUGGAUGAGCCUAAGUCGGAUUAGCUUGUUGGUAGGGUAAUGGCCUACCAAGGCGACGAUCCGUAGCUGGUCUGAGAGGACGAUCAGCCACACUGGGACUGAGACACGGCCCAGACUCCUACGGGAGGCAGCAGUGGGGAAUAUUGGACAAUGGGCGCAAGCCUGAUCCAGCA
rnacentral:rRNA from 1 species